AGAGUUUGAUCAUGGCUCAGAUUGAACGCUGGCGGCAGGCCUAACACAUGCAAGUCGAGCGGUAGCACAGAGAGCUUGCUCUCGGGUGACGAGCGGCAGACGGGUGAGUAAUGUCUGGGAAACUGCCUGAUGGAGGGGGAUAACUACUGGAAACGGUAGCUAAUACCGCAUAACGUCGCAAGACCAAAGAGGGGGACCUUCGGGCCUCUUGCCAUCAGAUGUGCCCAGAUGGGAUUAGCUAGUAGGUGGGGUAAUGGCUCACCUAGGCGACGAUCCCUAGCUGGUCUGAGAGGAUGACCAGCCACACUGGAACUGAGACACGGUCCAGACUCCUACGGGAGGCAGCAGUGGGGAAUAUUGCACAAUGGGCGCAAGCCUGAUGCAGCCAUGCCGCGUGUAUGAAGAAGGCCUUCGGGUUGUAAAGUACUUUCAGCGAGGAGGAAGGCAUUGUGGUUAAUAACCGCAGUGAUUGACGUUACUCGCAGAAGAAGCACCGGCUAACUCCGUGCCAGCAGCCGCGGUAAUACGGAGGGUGCAAGCGUUAAUCGGAAUUACUGGGCGUAAAGCGCACGCAGGCGGUCUGUCAAGUCGGAUGUGAAAUCCCCGGGCUCAACCUGGGAACUGCAUUCGAAACUGGCAGGCUAGAGUCUUGUAGAGGGGGGUAGAAUUYCAGGUGUAGCGGUGAAAUGCGUAGAGAUCUGGAGGAAUACCGGCGGCGGAGGCGGCCCCCUGGACAAAGACUGACGCUCAUGUGCGAAAGCGUGGGGGAGCAAACAGGAUUAGAUACCCUGGUAGUCCACGCCGUAAACGAUGUCGACUUGGAGGUUGUUCCCUUGAGGAGUGGCUUCCGGAGCUAACGCGUUAAGUCGACCGCCUGGGGAGUACGGCCGCAAGGUUAAAACUCAAAUGAAUUGACGGGGGCCCGCACAAGCGGUGGAGCAUGUGGUUUAAUUCGAUGCAACGCGAAGAACCUUACCUACUCUUGACAUCCAGAGAACUUAGCAGAGAUGCUUUGGUGCCUUCGGGAACUCUGAGACAGGUGCUGCAUGGCUGUCGUCAGCUCGUGUUGUGAAAUGUUGGGUUAAGUCCCGCAACGAGCGCAACCCUUAUCCUUUGUUGCCAGCGGUUCGGCCGGGAACUCAAAGGAGACUGCCAGUGAUAAACUGGAGGAAGGUGGGGAUGACGUCAAGUCAUCAUGGCCCUUACGAGUAGGGCUACACACGUGCUACAAUGGCGUAUACAAAGAGAAGCGACCUCGCGAGAGCAAGCGGACCUCACAAAGUAUGUCGUAGUCCGGAUCGGAGUCUGCAACUCGACUCCGUGAAGUCGGAAUCGCUAGUAAUCGUAGAUCAGAAUGCUACGGUGAAUACGUUCCCGGGCCUUGUACACACCGCCCGUCACACCAUGGGAGUGGGUUGCAAAAGAAGUAGGUAGCUUAACCUUCGGGGGGGCGCUUACCACUUUGUGAUUCAUGACUGGGGUGAAGUCGUAACAAGGUAACCGUA
rnacentral:rRNA from 1 species